UGCCCAAGAGAUCGGGAUAACACCUGGAAACAGAUGCUAAUACCGGAUAACAACAGAUGAUGCCUAUCAACUGUUUAAAAGAUGGUUCUGCUAUCACUCUUGGAUGGACCUGCGGUGCAUUAGCUAGUUGGUAGGGUAACGGCCUACCAAGGCGAUGAUGCAUAGCCGAGUCGAGAGACUGAUCGGCCACAUUGGGACUGAGACACGGCCCAAACUCCUACGGGAGGCAGCAGCU
rnacentral:rRNA from 1 species